GUGACCGACCUUGAAGCCAAAACUUCUUCCGGCUCUUCUAAGUCCUCUGGCUCCACCUCUAAUCCUUCUGGUAAUUGUGGUUCAGCCGAAUAAUUCCCUAUAGCCUUCUUAAGUUGAGAUAUAUGAAACACAGCAUGAAUUCUACUUCCUUCAGGCAGCUUCAGCUUAUAGGACACAACUCCUACUUUCUUAAGGAUAGGAAAAGGGCCAAAGUAUCGUGGAGCAAGUUUUUGAUUAAUGCGUCGUGUCACCGUCUGUUGUCGAUGAAGUCGAAGCUUCAGAAAUACCCACUCACCAACCUCAAACGAAUACUCCUUUCUGUUCUUGU
rnacentral:misc_RNA from 1 species